UCAAGGUCAAGAGUCACAGGGCGCCUGGGUGGCUAAGUCGGUUGAGUGUUGGGACUUCAGCUCAGGUCAUGAUCUCAUGGUUUGUGAGUUCGAGCCCCACAUCAGGCUCUGUGGUGACAGCUCGGAGCCUGGAGCCUGCCUCAGAUUCUGUGUCUGCCUCUCUCUCUGUCCCUUCCCCACUUGUGCUCUGUGUCUGUCUCUCAAAGAUAAAUAAACGUUAAAAAAAAAAAAAAAAGAUCAAGAGUCACAUGCUCUGCAGACUGAGCUAGUCAGGCAACCGAACUUCUUCAGACUCUUGUUUCUUCCUCUGAAAAUGGGGAUUGUAAUAGUCCCUACUUUCAAGUAUUAAUGUGAGGUCAUGCUCUAAAGGGCCAGCACAGUGCAGGAACUCAGUAAAUGACAAUCUGUAUUAUUAAAUUAAAUAAUAAGAAUAAGAACAGUCUUGCUACCCUCCCAUCUCUCUGCCUGUGCCCCUCUUACCUCCUAGUGACACUUCUUGUAGCAUCUAAGGAAUCUCUCCCCUCUCAGCACGAGGCCAGUGCUGACAUCACAACAGGGUUAAGAUGACCACCCGGACGCGUCAGGAUGCCUGAGUCCUAGGGAGGGGGCGAGAGGGAGGCCAUGGAGUCAUGGGAAAGAGAGAUCAAAGGUACAGCAGCCUUAUAAGACAGACUGGUGGACACGGGCCAAGUUUGAGCAGAGGUAUGGCAGGUCCACGGGGCAAGGUCAGCAGAAGACGAGAAAGAGAAAGUGGAACAUGAUGGGCACGUCAGGCAAAAUUGGAGUCACUGUAGGAGUUCUGCCAGAAGAGAGUGUGACAGUCAGGGAUCUGGGUUGCAACACAAACUGGCUUUCGCAGAUAGAACCUGACAGAAAGAGAUGGGACAGCCUGCAGAUAACUGAGUACUUAGUCCGAAGAGCUGGAAGCGGGGCUGGGUGAGGGCUGACAGGUGACCGCUGAGAGCUGAGCUCCAAGCUUUGUGAACAGACAAUUCCAUGAUGUCUGAGCUUCCAUUAUGAAUCAAGGUGAUCAAAUAAAUCUGUCACAAAUUUUAAA